rnacentral:tRNA from 1 species
GGGCACAUAGCUCAGUGGUAGAGCGUCUCGUUGACAUCGAGAAGGCCAGAGGUUCGAUACCUCUUGUGCCCACCA